rnacentral:rRNA from 1 species
CGGACGGGUGAGUAACACGUGGAUAACCUACCUAUAAGACUGGGAUAACUUCGGGAAACCGUAGCUAAUACCGGAUAAUAUAUUGAACCGCAUGGUUCAAUAGUGAAAGACGGUUUUGCUGUCACUUAUAGAUGGAUCCGUGCCGCAUUAGCUAGUUGGUAAGGUAACGGCUUACCAAGGCAACGAUGCGUAGCCGACCUGAGAUGGUGAUCGGCCACACUGGAACUGAGACACGGUCCAG